rnacentral:lncRNA from 1 species
UUUGGACUUCCUUCUGAUUAGAAAAUAAUUGGAAAACAUAUUCUCUUUAAUUUGAAGGACGCACGCCAGUCGCCAUAGGAAAAAAAAUUGAAAGUGAGGCACGCCGUAGCAAAACCUACGUGCUUAAGAAUAUUGUUGCAACAGUCUCCGCCCUGCCACGGUCUCCGACCAUCCCUGGGUAACUUCUCUUUUUACCUAGCAGGUUUCUUGAAAUCGAUUUACAAUUGAUUUUGGGUUGAUGCUGCUCGAAUAUUCUCAAUCGUCGUUGUCAACCUUCUCUUUCUCAUCCGUUUCAAACUUCUCUUUUUGUGUAGGUUUCAAGAUUAUUGCAGAAAUCAUUCUUCUCCUACAAUUUCUUGUCUAUCGGCAAGAAAUUCUGCUUACCAAGUACCAAUUUCUAAUUUUUGAUAUCCAACUAUGGCGUUUUGGGAUUUGUGAAAGUAUAGCUUUUUUGUGUUUGCUAAGUUGUUUGUGAUAUCUGCCUGCUGUUAGAUUGAUAGUCGAUUGAUUGAAUUGAUUCUUCCUCUAUUACUCUAUUGUUGUUUUUGUCUGCUGCUAUUUUUUUUGUUUUCUCUGAUUGAUAGCUGUUUUUAUUGUUUUCUCUGAUUGAUAGUGAUAACUGGUUUAUAUAGUGUAACUAGCAACAGAAAAUAAAUUUCCGUUUGCUUAUAUAUAUAUAUAUAUAUAUAUAUAUUAUGUCUUCAAUGCAAAUCUGCUAUAUUUUAGUGUAUUUGGGAGGGGAAAGAAAAGAUGUUGUGGCUAUGGAGAGGUAUUGUUAUUGAAUCUGUUUCACGUUCCAAAUUGAGGUUCUUAGAAUGGUAUUGUGAUUGAAGCUGGUGGUAAAUUGCAUAUCCCUUUCACUGUUGUCAGGGUAUCUGCAACUUCUAUUUCGGAUGCAGUUCCAACUGCCUUUAUGUAGUAGGUUUAUGAACCACAAUGUAUAGUUGCAAAUCUGAUCCAUAUGCAGUAGGUAACAAUGUAGUUCCUGAGUUACUAGUUGCAGCUCUUCUCAUUGCUAAAUGAACUAGUAGUAGCAAUCUAAUGACAAUGACAUGACCUUACACGCAGAGCAACAAUCUGGAUAACUUAAAGCUUCAAAAAAUGAGGGAGCGCAACUCCCUUUUUCUUUGUCCCUUAGCCUGCUAACCCUCAAUGAAUUGACUAGUUUUAGUAAGUAGGGAAAAUUCUAAACACGGUGAAGCAUGUUCUAUAAACACUUGUGUAUUUGUUGGUUUCUAUUAAUUUUGUGAUGUAUCUAAUUGAGCUGCUAAUGCUACGGAUAUACUUGCCACUUGCGCAUAUUUCUAUUUAAUUUGAUGUAUCACAACUUUUGGAAUAGAAUGAUUUUGUUUAAGUAGGUUGUAAGUUGUAAUGCUAAAACUUAUGAAUAUAACAUCUGAAUACUUAGUUGGUCUCUUUUGAGCCUUGCACUAUUAGAAUGGUUGUUGGUGUGAGAUUGUAGUUAAGAGGCCAUUCACUGUCUGCAAAUGGUGCCAUGAAACAACAACUGAAUAAAUGUAAGAGCAAGAAUACCCCUUGAUAAAAAUUAGAUUCGAUCUAUCAAUGCCUUCUUAGUCAGAUGACUAUGAUAUCUGUAUUAUAUCGAGCAUUAUCAUUCGUUCCCUUUUUUUAUGGUUUUGGGAAAGGAGAGGUAGUGCUAAGGUAGGAGCAGAUAAAAUGUUGUGAACUAAAUAGGUAAUUACAAUUUGGAGCUUCCUUUAGCUUUAAUGGGGUUACAUCAUAAUUGUCUAAUGUGUUAAAAGCACAUUUAGUCUACGAUCUUUGUCUCAUAAUGUAGAUCAAUAUUCGAAUUUUCAAACUAUUUAUGCAUCAUGUAGUGUACGUAGCAUCAAAUGUCCGAGAAGGUCCUCUUAAUUCUUCAGUAGAACUACUUUUGCAUUUUUGCUUAUUGGUAGACCUUGCCUUCACUCAAUUAUCCAAACAAGGUGCCAAGGAUUUGCGUGAAGCAAAAUUCAUUAUGACUUUCUUAUUGGAUUCUGAAAGACCUAUCUUCCUUGUAGAUAGUUGUAUUGAGUUGUUCCUUGGUAAGCAAAUGACAUAAGCUGGCUUCGAGAAUUUGUUUACUUCUUAAGUGACAGAAACAUCAUGUGUGUGUUUGGGUAGCUCGUAUGGUAAAUGUUCACUUGGAGCUAGUAAUAUUUAGUCCCAAGAUCAAUGAUGAUACUCAUUUAGGUGGCCCAAGGUUGUGUCUUUUCAUCAUCUUACCGGUAGUUCAAUCUCUUUCAGGUUGUUAAGUGAUAGAAAGUCUUUAUUAGGUAUUAGUCUUUCUUUAUUUAGCUGGAACAAAUCUACAAUCAUAAAUUAAAUUAAGGACACCACAACCGUAGAUGAUGUAUGUAAGUUUUGCUUUCUUUUGUGUCCAGUGUACAAAAACAAAUGUACUUCAAACAAGGCUAGAAAGACAAACGAUGUUAAGACAAGUUUCGCUUAAGUAUUAUCUAGCACUUGAUAGUCAUUCUUUUUCUGAAGAAAUAAGCUAAUAAACAGGUGGUUCUUAUACCAAGUAGUUCUGCACUCUCAGCAUCUCAUUCUUCAGUCCUGCAUUGUAAAAAACUCAUUAGUAUUUGACAGUUGCGCUAGUGUCAAUUAGAAUUCUUCAUGUUAUUUUCCUAGAUUAUAAUGGAUUGGAGUUUUGCCUAUGAAAUAAAGUUCACUGCAAUAUGUGAAUUCCAUGUUCAUUGAAGAGAAUAACUUUGUGAUUGGUUAGGCCUUUCAGAGUAUUGAUGGUCUCACAUUCAUUAACUUUAUAUCUAUUUAAUGGUUAAAAAAAUCACUAUUGACUAAAUCAGAAAACUAGACUUUGAAUGAGAAAUCAAAAUUACCUCUGAGAGCACAAAAGAUGAUUUCCACAGUUCUGGAGAUCACACAUUUCCUUGAAUCAUUUUUGCAAAAUCUUGAUACAAAAUAAUUUAUGAAAUUAAAAGGAGCGAUACACCCUAUUCUCCAUUCCAGUGUAUUAAGUACCAAGAGAUCCAUUCUCUGAAUCACUCUGCUCUCAAAAAUGUAUUCUUCCGUGGGAUAUUCUGUUAAUGUUGGCACUUUUCAUUCCUCCUUUUUUGCAGCCAAAGAUAAACUUGUUGAUCUAAGCCUCGCAUCUUGGAGUGCUUGGCAUUGAUGACCAAAUUUAGUUCUUUUAGUCGAAUCCUUAGGAAUACAUGCACUAUUGACGACAGGAAGUGUGUAAGCAGGUUACAAAAGUAAGAUUUAUGUCCCAACAUCAUUUAUUUAAUCUAAGCAUGUACUUGAAUUAGAACAACGGACUGCAAAGUGUAUGGAUAAGCUUGGUCACCUUUGUUAUUAGUCACCACUCACCACUCACCACCCACCAAUAAUUUACUCUGCUUAGCCUUACACUUAAAAAUAACCAAGAGAUGCCACAAAUUUAAUGAUGCUCUCAUGUCAACAAGAUAAUACUCAAUCUAAUUUACUCCAAAUUGCGAGCAGAGGAGAGCCAAAAUGGGUAAAUCCUUCAUUAAGUUAUCAGUAGGUUCCAAAGAGUUGAAUUGUUGUAGGACACUUAUCGUUUUGCAAUACUCCGUCUUUUUCAUCAUUUUAACACUAGUUGAAUCUCUUUCAAUUUGUUAAAUGAUAGGAAGUUUCCUUUAUUUAGCUGCAACGAACCUGUAACCACAAAUUAAAUUAAGAGAAAUGACAUACAACCUAAAUGCGGUGAAUAAGUUUUGCUCUCUUUUUUACCCAUUGUACAGAAAAUGUACUAGUGACAAGACUAGAAAGAUAAAUAUUGUUUGUUUUAAUUAGGUAUUGUUUUUGGUAAUCCAUUUGAUCUUUGUAUUAUGUGAAUGACUUGGUUGAGCAAUCACUGUUGUCAGUGGUUAGUGAGUGUGCAAAGUAGAACAUAACAAAUUAAUUAAUAUACACGAACAAUAAACUAGAAAAUAUUUCAAGUGAAAGAACAAAUUAAUAAGAUUAUCAAAAAUGAAACAGAACUAUUAAUUGAUAUAUGAAGAUUUCAUUUAUUUUAAGUCUAAAUGUCACCUAUAACAUUCUCACAUUUUAAGUACCUCCUAUUUUAAGAAUAAUAAGUUUAAUAUGAUCCAUCUAUAGCUUAAUUUAUGCAUUGAUGUAAUAAAUCUCCAACAUCUCCAUAUUUUAGGAAAAACUUACCUGUUGACAUAUAUUUAAUGUUGAAAUAUAUACUUUUUUUGCUUUCUGUUAUUUUUUCAUGAUACUGUUAUUCAAUAGAUUUCAGAGCAUCUCUCAAGUGCUUAACCGUAUAAGUUAUUAUACCUAUUAUUGCAGAAAAUACUUCACUUUCUCACGGUACUACUCAUCUUUAUCCUUUAGCUCACUACUGUUUUAGUUUUUUUACUGUAGAUCAUUAAAAAAUCUUCUUUUAUGAUCUUAGUAUAUCUUUGCCCGAACGUUUUCUUCUUCCUUUAAAGAUUUCAUCUAUUCAUUUGUUAAAUAUUAUUACAUGUCUUUCAAACUUCUUACAUCUCUUUCCAAUUAAACAGGGAGAUUUCUGCUGGAAAGACAUUUCCUGAGGAAAAGGUUUGUUAACUGAGUUAAUUUCUUAAAUAGAAUAAAACAAACCUUCCUUACUUAAAAAAAUGCUUCUUCUACUUCCCACUGUCAGUAGGUCUCUAAUCAAAGCUACUUUAUCUACUAUGUUCAUAUACAUCUGAUUGAAUGUUGUAUAUACCCAUCUCUAAAUGUUCAAAUCUUUUUAACUGAGCAACUUCUUUGCUCCUGAAAGUAUGAUUAAUCUUGUUUGUCAGUCAAAAAUAUAGAUAUCUGAUAUGUAUGAAUACUGAAAGCUACUACGAAAUAGAAAAAACAUCUACAAUAUUAGUUGUAUUAAUAACUGCCUAUUAUUUCAUUCAUAACUAUGAUGUACUGCAAAGUUUGGACCAAAAGCUGAGCAUAUAUGUGUUUUCUGCUGUCCUAAAUCCAGAAUAAGGGUUGAGUAUCAUGAAAUUUAUCAAACAUUCUGAGUGUAUGACUAGAAACAAGCAUGUUAAAUUGAUCGUUCUAAGAAAUGAGUAUUGCUCCCGACCUACUCUUCCCCCACAUCGUCCCCAAAAUCCUCUUGCUCUCUCUUCCUUUUAUUUGCGAGAGUAGUCAUGACUUGUGAUAAGAAAAUACAAGUUUCUGCAGACUGUUGGUCAGUGAAAUGUUUUAACUUUAGUUAGUAAAAGUAGAAUUACUUAAGAUUACUGUAUGUUAUUAUAUCUUUGUUUGGAUUGUAUGAACUGGUUCUUCAUUGAAAGCUAGCGGAGUAGUAAUCUUCAGUUGUGAACUAGUUUCUCCUGCAUUAUUUUCAAUAUACAGAAGCUUUAAACUAGUUGGUUAACAUUAGGUUUUGAAAUUCAACUGGAAAAUUUAGAUAGUUUGAGCUGGUUUUGAGACCAAAAAUUAAACUGUUAUUCUACAGUAAGUUUUAUUUAUAGCUUGGGCAGUGUUUUAACAACACAAAAAUUGAGGUUCACAGAAGAUCUAUAGCUUCUUCUUAAGUGAAAUCCCGCCAAGUCUUGCAUAAAUUUUAUAUAUUUUUGCUUUCUACAUUGGUGUGAUCAUCUCUAGCUUGCAUUCCUUUUAUAUUUAGUGACUACUAGUUGAAGAAGAUUUGCUUGCUUAUGCGUACAUCUACAAUGCUCAUAUAUUUCAUCUAUUGACAUAGUUAUUUUAUAAUUUCAGGUCAUACAGUCUGAUGAUCGAUAAUUUAGCUGGUCAAAAAUUUCAAUAUGAUGAAAAUUUGCAAAUAUUACUUGAAGAUUAUUAUUCGUUGGAAUUAGUCAUAUAAUGACAUUAGCUAUUUACUUCAAAUAGUAUAAGUUUUUUUGAGUUACUGUGGUAGUAAUAUUUUGGAUUAGUACUUUCUUUUGUUUGUUAAAAUUUAAUGAGAUACAUUAUGUUUUUAUGAAUUAAUAUUAGUAUGUUUUGUUAUUUGGAACCUUGUUUGAACGAAUGUAUUAGCUAUUAUUAAUGGUGG